rnacentral:rRNA from 1 species
UACGUAGGGGGCAAGCGUUGUCCGGAAUCAUUGGGCGUAAAGCGAGCGUAGGCGGCCCGAUAAGUCUGCUGUAAAAGUCAACGGCUCAACCGUUGAAAGCCGGUGGAUACUGUCGGGCUAGAGUUCGGAAGGAGGCAAGUGGAAUUCCUGGUGUAGCGGUGGAAUGCGCAGAUAGUCGGGAGGAACACCCGUAGCGAAGGCGGCACUCUGGGCCGGAACUGACGCUGAGGAGCGAAAGCGUGGGGAGCAAACAGG